rnacentral:lncRNA from 1 species
GUGACAGUGACUGUUACCCCUACUGCAGCGCCUGCACCCUUUCUUGCGUGGGUUGUACCUGCUGCACGGUGACAGUCUGUUCUUGGUGUCGCUUGGCAGUUGAUGGCUUUCGGACGUUCUUCCAUUCCAUCCCCGCUGCGACAAUACAUCAACGGAGAAUCCGCGAGAGACGCUCUGCAAGAUACAACAAGGCAUCAGAUAUCUUGGGACUCAACCAGUGUGUUUAAUCUUUUCCGACGUCAGCACCCCGCCAGUAUGGAUUGUUGGUGGCCUAUAGAGCGCAAACAAACAGAUCAGAAUACGUUCGCUCGAAACAGUCGACGUUGAGGAAUUGCUUGUUUCGUUGAUGUUGGACAGUCGUGUUCCUGCCACGGAGGACCACUGGAGUUUGACGUGUCGUUUGCCCAUCUCGCUGAUAAGCGUUCCAGACAUCUACUGUAACAGAACGCGAAAGGGGAUAAUUUCUUAGAGGAGGUGUUUUAACUUGUCGGCAUUCGUUCAGCUCUAGGCCCUGUUCUGUCAGUGGGAAACCCCUUCAAGCAUUGCGUUUUACAAGCAGCUUGAAGGACGUUUUGCCACUGCAUUCCGAUGGCACCAGGAACGACGUCAUCCUCGAUCGCGAGCGAAAGCGUGAACCACACAUGCCAAUGCAUCGCGAAUCAGCAAAAAACCGCACAUGCGUUCAGAUGCAGCAGUGGGCGUGCUGACAUCUAAGCUUAUCCUUCAUACGUCGGCUGAUGCGGUCAUGACCAGUUUCACUCGCGACACACAGGAGAGGAAUGCCAAAUAGCGAACUUAUGCGUGUGUGCCCA